GUGGGGAAUUUUGUACAAUGGGCGAAAGCCUGAUCCAGCCAUGCCGCGUGCAGGAUGAAGGCCUUCGGGUUGUAAACUGCUUUUGUACGGAACGAAAAGACUCCUUCUAAUAAAGGGGGUCCAUGACGGUACCGUAAGAAUAAGCACCGGCUAACUACGUGCCAGCAGCCGCGGUAAUACGUAGGGUGCAAGCGUUAAUCGGAAUUACUGGGCGUAAAGCGUGCGCAGGCGGUUAUAUAAGACAGAUGUGAAAUCCCCGGGCUCAACCUGGGAACUGCAUUUGUGACUGUAUAGCUAGAGUACGGUAGAGGGGGAUGGAAUUCCGCGUGUAGCAGUGAAAUGCGUAGAUAUGCGGAGGAACACCGAUGGCGAAGGCAAUCCCCUGGACCUGUACUGACGCUCAUGCACGAAAGCGUGGGGAGCAAACAGGAUUAGAAACCCGAGUAGUCC
rnacentral:rRNA from 1 species